ACGAGCACACAGGAGGAGACACUCAUCUUAUCGUGUCUUCGAAUUGUGUCAAAGAGCAUGAACAGAGAAAAGGAAAAGUCCAGCCUGGCUUGUCAUCCUCAGCACUGACUCAGCAGAUGUGGCAGCGCACACUGCAACAGCCUCCUGGGCAAGCCUUUCCUGCAUCCCUGACCAGGGCACAUCCCGCUUCAAAGCUGCUCAGAGCACUUAGCUGAGUUAGAAUUUCAGAGUUUUGCCUGAUUGAUUACCUUUGGUCCCUCCCACGGAAAGGGAACAUCUCUGCCAUCUGAAGGCUUCUGAGGAUUUCUGCAGGAGAGAGCUCCCCGGAUGACAUCAGGCUGCACAACAGCGAAAACACGC